UGUACAGUGUCUGGUUAAGGGUUUGGAGAGGGGCCAGCAGACCAUCUACAAACUCCAAGUAGGCCUUGUCCACUGUGCAAGUCUGCUCUUCUUCCAUUGGCCCCUUCUCUGGGCAUUGGAAUCUGUCCCGUUGUAGAAUCCUGAAUCCAGCCCUGGACACAUCCACCACCAGCACCCCCACUGCCGUGCUGCACAUCUCUCACCCUAUGUGGCUACCAAAACCAAAGAAGGAUCUCUGUCCCCACACCUUGUACCUGGAAAACUCUACAGCUGGUGGCUCACAUUUGGCCUUGUCGUCAUGAUCAAACCCUCCAGUUCCCUGAUGCUAAAGCAUUCAGACUUUUUGCUAGUAUUUUUCACAGCUUUCUGCAGGUGGGAUUUUAAUAAAGUCUUCACUGGGAAA